CAAUAGCGUAUAUUAAAGUUGUUGCGGUUAAAAAGCUCGUAGUUGGAUUUCUGCCGAGGACGACCGGUCCGCCCUCCGGGUGAGUAUCUGGUUUGGCCUGGGCAUCUUCUUGGAGAACGUAGCUGCACUUGACUGUGUGGUGCGGUGUCCAGGACUUUUACUUUGAGGAAAUUAGAGUGUUUCAAGCAGGCACACGCCUUGAAUACAUUAGCAUGGAAUAAUAAGAUAGGACCUCGGUUCUAUUUUGUUGGUUUCUAGAGCUGAGGUAAUGAUUAAUAGGGAUAGUUGGGGGCAUUCGUAUUUAACUGUCAGAGGUGAAAUUCUUGGAUUUGUUAAAGACGGGCUACUGCGAAAGCAUUUGCCAAGGAUGUUUUCAUUG
rnacentral:rRNA from 1 species